CCCUACGGGGCGCAGCAGUGGGGAAUAUUACACAAUGGGGGAAACCCUGAUGCAGCAACGCCGCGUGAGUGAAGAAGUAUUUCGGUAUGUAAAGCUCUAUCAGCAGGGAAGAUAAUGACGGUACCUGACUAAGAAGCCCCGGCUAACUACGUGCCAGCAGCCGCGGUAAUACGUAGGGGGCAAGCGUUAUCCGGAUUUACUGGGUGUAAAGGGUGCGUAGGUGGCAGGGCAAGUCAGAUGUGAAAACCCGGGGCUCAACUCCGGGAGUACAUUUGAAACUGUCCAGCUAGGGUGCAGGAGAGGUA
rnacentral:rRNA from 1 species